rnacentral:rRNA from 1 species
GUACACGCUGUGACUAGCAUAUCAAUAAGCGGAGGAAAAGAAACUAACAAGGAUUCCCUCAGUAACGGCGAGUGAAGCGGGAGGAGCUCAAAUUUGAAAUCUUGAAAGGUCACCUUUCACGAAUUGUAGUUUAAAGAAGUGUUUUCUGUUACGAUCGUAGUAUAAGUUCUUUGGAAUAGGACAUCACAGAGGGUGAGAAUCCCGUCUAUGAUUGCGAUUUGCAGCUUUGUGAUACACUUUCAAAGAGUCGGGUUGUUUGGGAAUGCAGCCCAAAACGGGAGGUAAAUUUCUUCUAAGGCUAAAUAUUGGCGAGAGACCGAUAGCGAACAAGUACCGUGAGGGAAAGAUGGAAAGAACUUUGAAAAGAGAGUUAAAUAGUACGUGAAAUUGUCAAAAGGGAAGCGUUUAACACCAGUGUUGUUUUCUGAAAAUCAACCUCUGUUAGCUUUAUGCAUGUUUGUUUAGACCUAAUCAGCUAUCUUGCAUGUUCUAUUGUUUGCAGUGGUGCACUUUUCAGUUUACAGGUCAACAUCAGUUUUUUUUACCGUAAAAAAGUUAAAGAAAGGUAGCUCAUGGCUCCGGUCGUGAGUGUUAUAGUCUUUUUCCUAUGCGGUAGGAGAGACUGAGGUCUGCAGUGUAGGCUAUUUGGCUAGAUACUCAGGUGCUAUGUGAUACCAUUUCAUAAACAACUUGUUGAUUAUGUUUUGUCUAUUGCAUACUCGCUUGUACUAUCAUACCUACGCUUAGGAUGUUGAGUAGCGACAUACGCAC